rnacentral:rRNA from 1 species
AGCAGCCGCGGUAAUUCCAGCUCCAAUAGCGUAUAUUAAAGUUGUUGCAGUUAAAAAGCUCGUAGUUGAAUUUCGGGAUCAAUACGUCGGUCGUGCUUUCGGGUACGUACUGGCGUCAUUGGUUUCUCCUUUCUGACGAACCAUGAUGUCAUUAAUUUGGUGUUAUGGGGAGUUAGGACUGUUACUUUAGAAAAAAUUAGAGUGUUUAAAGCAGGCAUUAGCUUGAAUACAUUAGCAUGGAAUAAUGAAAUAGGACGUUCGAUUCCUAUUUUGUUGGUUUCUAGGAUCAACGUAAUGAUUAAUAGGGAUAGUUGGGGGCAUUAGUAUUCAAUUGUCAGAGGUGAAAUUCUUGGAUUUAUUGAAGACUAACUACUGCGAAAGCAUUUGCCAAGGAUGUUUUCAUUAAUCAAGAACGAAAGUUAGGGGAUCGAAGACGAUCAGAUACCGUCGUAGUCUUAACCAUAAACUAUGCCGACUAGGGAUCGGAUGAUGUUUAAUUUUUAAUGACUCAUUCGGCGCU